AUUGAACGCUGGCGGCAGGCUUAACACAUGCAAGUCGAACGAGUGGCGGACGGGUGAGUAAUGCUUGGGAAUCUACCUUAUGGAGGGGGAUAACUACUGGAAACUGUAGCUAAUACCGCAUACCAUCGGAUGUGCCCAAUUGGGAUUAGGUAGUUGGUGGGGUAAAGGCUCACCAAGACGACGAUCCCUAGCUGGUCUGAGAGGAUGACCAGCCACACUUGGACUGAGACACGGCCCAGAAUCCGACGGGAGGCAGCAGUGGGGAAGAUUGCGCAAUGGGGGGAAGCGGACGCAGCCAUGCCGCGUGAAUGAAGAAGGCCUUCGGGUUGUAAAGUUCUUUCGGUAGCGAGGCGUUAACUACAGAAGAAGCACCGGCUAACUCCGUGCCAGCCGCCGCGGUAAUUC
rnacentral:rRNA from 1 species